UUCUGCUCGGUGGAGUCAGCGGACAGACUGCAGGUGUGGACGGCUUCACUGCAUCAGCAAGAUGAGAUAUUUGCAGAGGAGGGCUCUGGUCUCUUGGUUCCCUGCAGCGUUCCUCAACCUCGCCACAAUUUCACCCUCACCUGGAGCUUCAGCAGAUCCAGCGAAUCCAUCGUAAUCUUCAGUUUCGACAGCCGGAGUCGUCGCCUACUGAACCUGUGGGACGGCAGAGCUGAAGUGGACAUUGAUCAGGCACAUUUGGGCAACGGCUCCCUUCAUCUGCUGAACUUGGAUAGUUUAACACACAGCGGCUCCUACAUCUGCACUUUCUAUGGUUUCCAGAUUAGGCAUCAAGUCCAAACCCACGUCAACAUUACCGUCCGCAUCACCGAUGAUGACGAGUAUGACUGCAGGAGGUCCUGGUGGGGAACUGCUGCAUCUGUCUUCAUAUUUCUGAUCACUAUAUCUGUAGCCCUGUCUCGGUGUUUUAGACUGAGAGGUGAACGUUCAGCACAAAACCACGCAGACAUCAAUAAACGAGUCAGAUGUUGCAAGACACCAGAAAUGCCACUAUUUGAAAGACAAGGACAAGAAGAGCCAAGACGCAAUGGUUUGGAAUCUCCGGAGAAAGAAAUUCACGUGAUGUCUGACACAACGCCGCUCAAACAAGAUCCUGACGGCCUUAAAAAUGACAUCCUACAGAAUAAAAGCAUGAUUAUUAAUGAUUCAUCUACAUCAGAGGAAAGACAUGAAUCCAGGCCGCAAACACCAACAGCUGCUAUCAUAACUCUCUUUAUAUCUGAAAUCAACACAGACGCAGCUGAUGAGAAG